GACCUUAUGCUUUUGGAGCGGCCGAUGUCUGAUUAGCUAGUUGGUAAGGUAAUGGCUUACCAAGGCAACGAUCAGUAGUUGGUCUGAGAGGACGACCAGCCACACUGGGACUGAGACACGGCCCAGACUCCUACGGGAGGCAGCAGUGGGGAAUUUUGGACAAUGGGCGCAAGCCUGAUCCAGCAAUGCCGCGUGAGUGAAGAAGGCCUUCGGGUUGUAAAGCUCUUUCAGUUGAGAAGAAAAGAUUGUAACUAAUAAUUGCAAUCCAUGACGGUAUCGACAGAAGAAGCACCGGCUAACUACGUGCCAGCAGCCGCGGUAAUACGUAGGGUGCGAGCGUUAAUCGGAAUUACUGGGCGUAAAGGGUGCGCAGGCGGUUCUGUAAGUCAGAUGUGAAAUCCCCGGGCUUAACCUGGGAACUGCGUUUGAAA
rnacentral:rRNA from 1 species